GAGAGUCAUAUAACUAAUAAAGAUGUAUUUGAUUUAAUUAACAAGACAAGCGUUGGUCAUUUUUGAGCUCGAACAAACGUUUGUGUCGAGAGUUAUUAUGAGCUUUUCCGUUCAGCUUUAAGAGGACCUACGCAAAAUGAACGAGCCAGUACCUCGUUGGUGAUAUGUUGAGUGAAGGAAAAAACAUUUGAUUAUUUGUGGUAAAGAUUGGCAAUUUUCCGUCCAACCUUCUUUGUCCAGUGAUGAUGUCGUCCUUCCACCACGCUAAAGAUAUCCAAACAUCGCAUGACAACGUUCUGACUUGGACCAAUCAGAGCACAGAGCGGUUCUCGUUUUGCCCAAUCCCGAGCCAGUCAUUAGAGAGUGCACAUACAGGGCAGAGAAGUUCGACUUUAAAAGCCUGCCACAUUGCCCCAACCUCAUCAGUCUGGCAAAAGAUUUCCGACUAUACACACCUGCCUUCAAGUAUCUUGAAUCCAAUCAAAAAAAAACAAACCCUCCCAACAUGUCUGAAUCCCAUUUCGACGAGUACGAGCAUUUCAACUUCGACCAGGAGAAGAACAUGUUCA